UUGGUGUAAUCAAAGCAUUUUCAUAAAAUAUGACAUCUCUAAAUGUUAUGGUAUUAUUAAAUUCCUCACUACAAACCCCCUACCCCUUUAGAUGUAAAUCAUUACCUAUGAAAAUACAUUUUCUAUCUCUAGGUUUAAGCUUUUCCUCACUCACAUGGAUAUACGCCGGACAACAAAUACUUUAAGAUUAUAAUAAACUCAGAAAUUAUACCAUACCUCUUGUGGGACUUGAAUUUCAAGGCAGUAUGUGGAGAAUGGUUCACCAUGUAGCAUGUUGUAGCAAUAACUUCGGCAUAAAAAGCUUAGUUUGGCUUGAGUGAUCAUGCUUUUAUCCAUCUCUAACAAAUUUUAUUAAUCCCUCCGCAACACCAUUUUGUUGAUGCCUUCCCAUACAUGUUAUGUCUCAUAAUGCAUUUUUCUGGUGCAAUAUAAACUUUAUCUCAACAAACUCAAGAUCAUUGUCGAUUCUCAAUAUCUUGAUACUUUUACCGAUUUUCUUUUCAAUCAACGAAGACAUCAAAGUGAUCAUAUUUUUCUUAAUGAAGUAGUAAUAAACUUUCCUUCAAUAGUCAUCUAUGAAAUUACGCAAAUAGUUGCAACCACCAAGUGAGAUCUUCCUAGAAAGUCUCUAAAGAUUGGAAUGAAUAUAGUCAAGUAUCCCUUUUGUGUUGUUCAUAGCCAAUUUGCAACUCGCCCCCUUGUGCUUCCUAGAAGGUCUUUAUACCAUCAAGCAAGCCUUGCUUGCUCAACUUAUGCAUAGCUUUUUCAUCCAUGUGACUCGUACCUCAAGUGCCAAAGUUUAGUUUCACUAGUGGAAAAAACCUUAUAUGAUGCGCAACAUAUGCUGCGGUUUUAUAAAAACACAGCAUAAAAGUAGUAGAUAAAUUAGGCAAAAAAAGAAAUACGGUAUAUGUUGCGGUUCUUUGAGAACCGCAGCAUAUACCCUAUUUCUUUUUAUAAAAUCCCGCCUUUAUUCAUACAGCAGAUUCAAAACCCGCGAAAAUGUAUUAUUUGCUUUCAAAACCCGCCUUAGUUCGACAUAACUUGCUCAUUUCUCUUCAUCUUUUUCAAUCUUUUUCAGCCCGUGAAAAUUUGUUUUUCUUCCUCUUUUCUUCUUCAACCUUUAACUUCUUCAAAACCCACGAAAAUUGUUGUUCUUCUUCUUCUUCAAAACCCACGCAAUUGAUUUAGGGCUUCGUUUUUUAAGGUUUUGACAAAUUGGUGUUUGGAGAUUGGUAUAUGAAGCUAUUCUUAGAAGCAUACAAUAUGUGAGGGCUUUUUAAACAAUCUAAGAAAUCAGGAAUUUAGGGAGAAGUUAGGGGUUGCACCUCUCUUCGCAAAGAUGCAGAAGAAUAGGUUGAGAUGGUUUGGGCAUGUGCAGAGAAAGACACAUGACGUCCCAGUAAGAAGGAUCGAAUACAUCAUAGUGGAGGGCAAGAGAAGUCGAGGAAGACCUAGGAGAACGUGGGAGGAAAAGAUUAAAAGUGACAUGCAUGAACUUCACCUCUCCAAGGACUUGACCAGGGAUAGGGGCAGUUGGUGUCGCCUUAUCCACGUCUUAGAUUACUAAAUUCGUCCCUUUUACCCGGCGUUUGUUUUUAUUCAUUGCCUUUAAUUAUCGCUCUUUACCUCCUUCGUUCAUUACUUUUAUCUUUAUUUUUAGUUAUUUGUACGUAUUUUAUUUAUUCUAUUUGUAAGUAGCAAGUUUCUCUCUCUUUGAAGACCUGUCUCGAGCCGAGGGACUCUUUGACUGCACUCUCCUCUAUGGGUAUGAACUGUCGUCGU